rnacentral:tRNA from 1 species
GGGGGUGUCGUUCAAUGGCAGGACUUUGCUCUCCAAAAGCAAGUAUCCCCGUUCGAGUCGGGGCACCCCCGCCA